rnacentral:tRNA from 2 species
CCCCCCGUAGCCCAAUCGGCAGAGGCAGCCGACUUAAAAUCGGCGCAGUGCGGGUUCGAGUCCCGCCGGGGGGA